AUGUCCUCUGUGGCUCUGCUGCUCCUGCUGGCUGCUGGAUCCUGUGUGAAGUGUGAACAGCUGACACAGCCAGAGUUUGUGACUGUGCAGCCAGGUCAGCAUCUGACCAUCACCUGUCAGGUCUCUUAUUCUCUUAGCAGCUAUUGGACAGGACUGGAGUGGAUUGGGGUGAAAUACACUGGGGACUCUCGCUAUAAAGAUUCACUAAAGAGCAAGUUCAGCAUUGACUUGGACACUUCAAGCAAGACAGUGACUCUAAAUGGACAAAAUAUAGAGCCUGAAGACACUGCUGUGUAUUACUGUGCCAGAGAGUCACAGUAA